rnacentral:rRNA from 1 species
CAACGUUAAUCGGGGCAGGGUGAGUCGACCCCUAAGGCGAGGCCGAAAGGCGUAGUCGAUGGGAAACAGGUUAAUAUUCCUGUACUUGGUGUUACUGCGAAGGGGGGACGGAGAAGGCUAUGUUGGCCGGGCGACGGUUGUCCCGGUUUAAGCGUGUAGGCUGGUUUUCCAGGCAAAUCCGGAAAAUCAAGGCUGAGGCGUGAUGACGAGGCACUACGGUGCUGAAGCAACAAAUGCCCUGCUUCCAGGAAAAGCCUCUAAGCAUCAGGUAACAUCAAAUCGUACCCCAAACCGACACAGGUGGUCAGGUAGAGAAUACCAAGGCGCUUGAGAGAACUCGGGUGAAGGAACUAGGCAAAAUGGUGCCGUAACUUCGGGAGAAGGCACGCUGAUAUGUAGGUGAAGUCCCUCGCGGAUGGAGCUGAAAUCAGUCGAAGAUACCAGCUGGCUGCAACUGUUUAUUAAAAACACAGCACUGUGCAAACACGAAAGUGGACGUAUACGGUGUGACGCCUGCCCGGUGC